rnacentral:rRNA from 1 species
GCCUGGCCCUAAAUCUCGAUGCUUAUCGCUACCUAAGCAUCCGCCCGAGAACUACGAGCACAAACGCUUGAAACUCUAAGGACUUGGCGGUGCUCCAAACCCACCUAGAGGAGCCUGUUCUGUAAUCGAUGAUCCACGAUAUACCUAACCAUUCCUCGCAGUAUCAGCCUAUAUACCGCCGUCGCCAGCCCACCCCCCCUGAAGGCCAAACAGUGAGCGCAAUAGCCCAAUACCGCUAAUAAGACAGGUCAAGGUAUAGCCUAUGGAAUGGAAGUAAUGGGCUACAUUUUCUAGAUUAGAACAUUACGGCAAAAGGGCGUGAAAUCGCCCUUAGAAGGCGGAUUUAGCAGUAAAGCGGGAUAAUCAAGCCCUCUUUAAGCCGGCUCUGGAGCACGU